rnacentral:lncRNA from 1 species
UGUACACGCUGGUAAACUGCUCGGUGCGCUGGGCCUACAUGCUGGCCAUCGUUGGCAUCAUGGACGCCCUCAUCCUCUCCUUCCUGGCCUUCGUUUUGGGCAACCGGCAGAAUGACUUCCAGCUGGAGGAGCAGCUCAAAGUAGAACAGAAAGAUUUUGCAGUGUCCAGGAUUGAAAUCCGGGAGAUCAAGGAUCCACGAUAUGGUGUCCAACUGUUCCACUGAGCAUCCCCCCCAACCUUCCCCUCCUCUCCUUCCUCUCUUCUGCUCGUCACCUCAGCUCUUCAGGUCCAACCAUCGGUCUUGAAGUGGAGGCUCCAUCCAGCUGUUUGUAAAAAUAGAAAUGAAAUGGAAGAGAAAAUAUGUCUGUUUGAAGAGAACUACGAUAAAAAUUAAUAAUAUUAUCAGCUUUAUAAAACUCUGGGAAAAUAAUAAAUGAUAUACAGUAUUAAUUAAUUAUCACAUAUUACUGUAACAAAGGUAAUUAAGUUAUUGAUGAUGAUAAU